rnacentral:rRNA from 1 species
UACGAAGGUGGCAAGCGUUGUUCGGAUUUACUGGGCGUACAGGGAGCGUAGGCGGUUGGAUAAGCCCUCCGUGAAAUCUCCAGGCUUAACCUGGAAAGUGCAGAGGGGACUGUUCAGCUAGAGGAUGGGAGAGGAGCGCGGAAUUCCCGGUGUAGCGGUGAAAUGCGUAGAGCUCCGGAGGAACGCCAGAGACGAAGGUGGCUACCUGGCCCUGACCUGACACUGAGGCGCGAAAGCGUGGGGAGCGAACCGG